rnacentral:rRNA from 1 species
UACGGAGGGGGCGAGCGUUGUCCGAAGUUACUGGGCGUAAAGCGCGCGUAAGCGGGUUGCUAAGUCCGCUGUGAAAGCCCGAGGCUUAACCUCGGAGGGUCGGUGGAUACUGGCAGUCUUGAAGGUGGUAGAGGGAAGUGGAAUUACCGGUGUAGCGGUGAAAUGCGUAGAUAUCAGGAAGAACACCCGUGGCUAAGGCGGCUCUCUAGUACGUGACUGACGCUGAGACGCGAAAGCGUGGGGAGCGAACAGG